rnacentral:lncRNA from 1 species
UAAAGAGAAGGAUUCUUUCGGAGUCGACAUUUAUCAAUACAAUGGUUUCUGGUGGCCUGAAGUAGCUGUGCAUUGCAUGAUCGAGUCUCUAAAUUAUUUUCAACCUCGCAAAAACGAUGUCUUCCUUGCAACUGCUCCUAAAUCUGGCACCACCUGGUUGAAAGCUAUUGUCUAUACUUUACUCAACCGCCAAGUCCACCAUCCUCAAGAUCCUCACCACCCCUUGCUAACAACAAAUCCCCAUCAGCUUGUUCCUUUUCUUGAACUACUUGAGCACUCUGAAUACGAAACCUUAUCCAACUCUUCGGAGAGCAGCACUAGGAUCUUCGGGAGCCAUUUGCCAGCGGCUAGUCUUCCUAAAUCCGUAACAGAAGAGAAUGAGUCAUUUAAUUGUAAGAUAGUGUAUUUGUGCAGGGAUAUCAAGGACACGUUUGUUUCCUUCUUUCACUUUGUCAUCAAGCAUGUUGAUCCGUCCUCCACUUCUUUGGAAAAGGUCUUCGAUUUAUACAGUAGAGGACUCAACGGAGCUGGACCCGUUUGGGAUCAAAUCAUGGGAUAUUGGAAGGAAAGCUUGGAGAGGCCAGACAAGGUGUUGUUUAUCAAGUAUGAAGACAUGAAACGCGAGCCUCGUAUUCAGGCGAGGCGUCUUGCGCUCUUUCUAGGGAAGCCCUUGUCCGAAGAGGAAGAAAAUUCAGGUAUGCUCGAUCAAAUCAUAAGUUUGUGUAGCUUCGAUCAUAUGAAGAAUCUUGAGGUUAGUAAGAGCGGGACAACUAGGCAUGGUAUAAAGAAUAACACUUUUUACCGGAGUGGCCAAGUCGGAGAUUGGAAGAAUUAUUUGACUGCGGGAAUGGCUGCUAAAUUGGAUCAUAUUACUCGAGAGAAGUUUCGAGGUUCAGGAUUAUCUCUCUGAAAUGCCGUCAUUAUAUAUGCUGCUGCUUAUUCUAGUUAUUCUGUUGAUAGUAUAUUCAAAUUGUUCUCUACAAUUACUAAUUCAUAUGCGUGGACGAGUGUGGAUUGAUUGGCGUACCGUUGUAACCGCAACAAUAUUGUACUCGUAGUUAUAAUAAUUUUGUGUUCGUUGUUAUGGCCUUGAAUUUCGUCUACUUUGGAAUUAUGGAUCACGCUAAUCAGGUCGGUUCUUAAGGCACUCCUUCCGCCCUUUUUAAUUGCCCAGUUUUGAUUUUCAUUCAUUAAACUUAUAUCGAUUUUUUGCUGAAAAACAGAUUGAAAAACUGUUUGAUUAAUUUAAAAGCAGCUAUCCAGCUUUUGCACAACAAUUUUCUGAUUUCUACAACACCGUUUUUCUUACCCGCACUUUUUCCGACAGCAGAACCAUUUUAACAGCACUCCAAAACAGACUCUAAAAAAGAACCCAUUACUUUUUUUUUUUAAGAUUUUAAAUUGAAUACUCUUUAAUGUUAUGGAUACAUAUCACAAUCCACCACAUGUAUCAAAAUCAUUCCUCUACUUUCUCCACAAGAUAUCAAGACCCGGGGUUAAGUUUUAAAAUUCUCAUUAUUAUACAUGCUCAACAAAUUUAUAAUUUUUUCCUAUAUUUUCGUCAUAAAUUAAGUUAAAACCUUGACUUUCAUAUUAAUUACUUACACCAUAAGAACAUUUUGUCUUUACCAUUCCGUAUGAUUUUUGUUUACGUACCCGCCCUGCAUGAUACUUGUGUGGUAUUUUACUCUUCAUUCAUUUUUUUGUUUUGAUUUGAUUUUUUACAUGUAUUAUAAUAUAAAAAAUAUAAUUAUUAUUUAUAUUCCAAUAUUUUUAGUAUAUAUGUAAUAAAAUGAAAAUUUUUAAAAAUAAUAUAUGAAAAUAUUUUGUCUAUACACUUUAAAAUAAUAAAAAAUUAAAAUGAUUGAUCUCCAUUAAUAUUAUAAAUUUUUUUAUUAAAAUAUCCUAAUUUAAUAUUUUGCCUCGGGCCAAAAAUAUAAAGAUCAGACCGACACUAUUAUACUAACAAAGGCAAGGAACAUCAUUUACACAACUGAUGCUACUUCAAGCGGGUGUGGGCCAGCUACGAUUUAAAGCAUCAUCAGAAUCUCCAAGGACAUAUCCUAACGAUCUCUGAUGAAGAUAACCAUAAUGAUGGGUUGAAUUAGACAUGUAGGAUAUUUAUUCAAUCUAUAACCCAUUAUAUUCUAUGGUAUUGAUUAUAUUAAUUGAUUAAAUUUAAAAAUAGUAUUUUAAAUUAUUAUAAAUAAAAUAUAUGAUGAGUAAUCAAUCUUUCCACAUUUUUAACUUGAUCUUAAUAAAUGGAACGUUCUCCAAAAAAAUUAAGAUCGCUAAUUUACAUACUUGUAGAGGUUUGACAAAUAUAAUCAUCCACGUGAGCUUGAUUGUAAUUAUAGCAACGGGGGAGUAUGGUUCAAAUGUGAUAUUUUCAACCAAUUAUUUUUAUUUUUUAUUUUUAAUACUCAAUUUUAGUUAAAGAUUUUUUCAUGAUCGUAGUUAACUCUUAAUAAAUGGAAUGUUCUCCAAAGAAUAAAAUUAUGAUCGCUAAUUUACGGGAGAUUUACACCAUCAUAAUUUUAAGCGGGGGCACUUGUUGGCGGGUUGAUAAUAUAAGUACGGUUUUUCUAUGGUGUGCAUGCUAAGCGCGGAAAAUUAUGUGCUUGGAUCAUUUUGAUUGGCUCCUAUCUCAUGAUAAUGGUGGACCCCUGCAAAUACACCAACCACACCAAUCAAAAUCUCCCAAAUAUAAAAAUUUCCGCGCUUAGCAUGUGCCCAUGGGCACACACUAGCCAAACCGAUAUAAGUAUUGCAAUAGGCAUGCAGUCGUUUACCCAAAAACACUGCAAUAACCCAAAACUUCAAAACCUCAUCAAGUUUCUCCUCCUCUUCUUAAGCAAUUAGAUGAAGAGAUCGUCUAUAGCCAAGAUUUUAUGGACUUGCUUUUAACCUUGCCAAAAGAGAAAAAUACUUUCGGAGCCGACAUUUUUCGAUACAAUGGCUUCUGGUUUCCUGAAGUACCCUUGCAUGGCAUGAUUGAGUCUGGAAAACAUUUUCAACCUCGGCAGAAUGAUGUGUUCCUCGUAACUGCUCCUAAAUCCGGCACUACAUGGUUGAAGGGCAUCAUGUAUACUUUGCUUAAUCGCGAAAUCCACCAUCCUCAAGAUCCUUACCACCCUUUGCUGACUCAAACUCCCCAUCAGCUUGUUCCUUUUCAUGAAUUACUUAAACGUUCCGAAUACAACUCUGUAUCCAACUCUCCUGAUAGCAGCAGUAGGAUCUUCGGAAGUCAUAUGCCAACAGUUAGUCUUCCUAAAUCCGUAAUAGAAGACAGUGAGUCAUUAAAUUGUAAGAUGGUGUAUUUGUGCAGGGACAUCAAGGACACCUUUGUUUCCUCCUUUCACUUUCUCAAACAGAAUCUAGAGCCAUCAAACAAUUGUAUGGAAAACCUCUUUGAUUUAUACAUCAGAGGAGUAAGUCCGGGUGGACCCGUGUGGGAUCAUAUCAUGGGAUAUUGGAAGGAAAGCUUGGAGAGGCCAAAUAAGGUGUUGUUUAUGAGGUACGAAGACAUGAAAUCCAAGCCUCAUUUUCAGUUGAGGCGUCUUGCGUUUUUUCUGGGAAAGCCCUUCUCCGAAGAGGAAGAAAAUUCAGGUAUGCUUGAUCAAAUCAUAAGUUUGUGCAGCUUUGAUAAUAUGAGGAAUCUUGAGGUUAAUAAGAGCGAUACAACUAAGCUUGGUAUAAAGAAUCACACAUUUUACCGGAGCGGUCAAGUUGGAGAUUGGAAGAAUUAUUUGACUGCGGAGAUGGCUGGUAAGCUGGAUCAGAUCACUCAAGAAAAGUUUCGUGCUUCUGGAUUAUCUCUCUGAUAUAUUUUCAAUCAUCAUUGUGUGCUGCUGCUGCUGCUGAUGCCACCUGUUUUGUUGUUUAUACUUAUUGUAUGUAUGUAGUAAUUCCUGUCAUAGUUUAUGACAAGGAAUUUUGUGCUCUCUUCACUUGUGUGUUUCUGAAGUGUAAUUUUGUCUAUGCUUGAUAAUAAUUGGAUAAUGUAUUUCCUCCCCUUUAUAUUAAAAUCAUGUUGAAUUUUGUUCUUAAUUUCGAUUUAGGUUUUGUCCCUGAAAAAUGUUGUAAUAUAAUAAAAAUGUUGUUUUACAGUCACUGUAUUAUAACUCACUACAACAAACUAGUGUACGACGGAAAUAUUUUGUGCAAGUUCAGAAAGAAAUAUAGCUACUACGCUUUUUCCAUCACAAGUUAUCUAGAUAGUUUACUGAAAAUUUUCAACUUUGAAGAUCUGACAAUAGAGGGUACUAAUAAACUGUAACCUAUGCACACAAUUUAGAGUAAUUAUGUAUCAUUUGGUUAUUAGGCAAAAAAAAUCAUUGAACUCAUGACCAACUUGCAGUUGGAUCACUGAACUCAAAAAUAUGCAACGGGAUCAAAAAAUUAGAUUUAACUUGUAAUCAACUAACUGAAAAUAAAAAAAUAUGAUAAAAAAUAAAAAAAAUUGAAGAAAAAGCAAAAUUUUGGGGGAAAAAAAAAAUAAAAGUAGUUUCUUUAAUAAAAUUUCUGAAAACACGUGAGCGUUGCCUUCAUCAAUAAACAGGUGCAAUAUGCUGAUCAGUUUCUAAAAUAACAUCAUAAAUUAUGGAACCAAAAGCUUCACAGCCUCUUGAACUUUCUCCUGCUCCUUUCAAGCCAUUAAAUGGGGAUAUCGUUUACAGCCAAAAAUUCAUCGACUUGCUUUCCACAUUGCCUAAACAGAAGGAUUCUUUCGGAGUCGACAUUUAUUAUGACAAUGGUUUCUGGUGGCCUCUAGUAGCUGUGCAUUGCAUGAUCGUCGAUCGAGUCUCUAAAAUAUUUUCAACCUCGCAAAAACGAUGUCUUCCUCGCAACUGCUCCGAAAUCUGGCACCACCUGGUUGAAAGCUUUAGUCUAUACUUUACUCAACCGCCAAGUCCACCAUCCUCAAGAUCCUCACCACCCCUUGCUAACAACAAAUUAUUCCCAUCAGCUUGUUCCCUUUCUUGAACUACUUGAACACUCUGAAUACGACUCGUUAUCCAACUCUUUGGAGAGCAGCACCAGGAUCUUCGGGAGUCAUUUGCCAGCGGCUAGUCUUCCUGAGUCUGUGAUACAGGAAAAUGAGUCAUUUAAUUGUAAGAUAGUGUAUUUGUGCAGGGAUAUCAAGGACACGUUUGUUUCCUUCUUUCACUUUGUCAUCAAGCAUGUUGAUCCGUCCUCCACUUCUUUGGAAAAGGUCUUCGAUUUAUACAGUAGAGGACUCAAUGGAGCCUGGACCGGUCUGGGAUCAAAUCAUGGGAUAUUGGAAGGAGAGCUUGGAGAGGCCAGAUAAGGUGUUGUUUGUCAAAGUAUGAGGACAUGAAAUGCGAGCCUCGUGUUCAGUUGAGGCGUCUUGCACUUUUUCUAGGGAAGCCCUUGUCCGAAAAAGAAGAAAAAUCAGGUUUGCUUGAUCAAAUCAUAAGUUUGUGUAGCUUUGAUAAUAUGAAGAAUCUUGAGGUUAGUAAGAGCGGGACAACUGGGCUUGGUAUAAAGAAUAACACACUUUACCGGAGUGGCCAAGUGGGAGAUUGGAAGAAUUAUUUGACUGCGGAAAUGGCUGCUAAAUUGGAUCAUGUUACUUGAGAGAAGUUUCGAGGUUCAGGAUUACCAAUACACUAAUCAGGUCGGUUAAUUAAGAGGCCGUUUGGGUGAGUUUAAAAUAAGUGGUUCUUGCUCAAAAUAAAAAAGUGGAGCAGAAGUUAGAAGCAAGAUAAGACUUAUAAGUGAUUAAAGUGUUUUGGAAAUAAGUAGAAGUGUUUGAGAAAUAAGUAGAAACUCUGAAACAAAAGCUAGCAUUCCUAGCUUUUUAUAAGGACUUAUUAACUUAUUACACAAACACAAAUAAGUGUCAUAACCAGACUUAUAAGUUCUAAACAAACACCCACUAAGUUUGAAGGUAAUUUAGAGGGUAGUGGCCAAGAGCCCAGAUUUAAAAAGGACCACUUUUUUAAAAUUUUAUAACUAAAUUACUUAUUAUUAUUGAUGCACUUCAUAAUCUAUCAAAAUCAUUCCACUACUUUCUCAUGAAGAUCCAGGUUUAGUUUUAAAAUUCUCAUAAUUAUAAAGAUGCUUGCUAAAUCAGUUUUUUCAAUAUUUUCAUCAAAUAUUACAUUAAAACCUUGACUUUUAUUAUUAUAUUACUAAUUACAUGUAUUUCAAAGUGAAUAAAAUAUAACUCCGAUUUAAUUUUUCAAAUUUUCUUUUCAAAAUAGGAAUAUAUAUUAAUAUAAUAAAUAGAAAAUUUUAAAAAAUAAUAUAUAAAUAUAUUUUCUAUAUUUUUUAAAAUAAUAGCAAAAAGUUAAAUGACUGAGUACUAUAAAAAAAUUUAUUAAAGUUUUUGCCUCUGUCCCAAAAAUAUAAAAAUCAGACCGAUGCUGAUGAUGAAGGCAACCGAAUGAUUCCACUUCACGCGAUUCUGGGCAGCUACGAUUUAAAGCAUCAUAAAUGGAUCCAAUGCUCUCGAAAAUAUCAAAUAUGUACGUGUCACUCUGUCUUUUUAAAUAAAAUUAUAUGAUUAAUAUUCUAAUUUUAAAAUGAUAAACUUAGUUAUGGAGUUAGGAGAGAAAUGUGUGCCAAAAAUUUCAAUGGCUUAUAUUUCCAACAAAAAAUAGUAUUUAUAAACAAUUAUAUUUCUAAUAAUCGGUGGUUGUGAUGGUUAAAAACUAAUGGAAUGAUAGGACAUUAAUCACAAAGAUCAAUUCAACUAAAAAGAUAUUAUAUUUUGUACAUUAUAAUGAUAUUUGAUAUAUUAGUUUAAUUUAUUAUAUAACAUAUUAUUAUUUAAGAAAAUUUAUAUUACCUCUAUUCUUAUUUAUAAGCCGCUAGAUUAUUUAUACGUAACUUUAAGUGUUUUGAGCACAGUAAAAAUUAAUAUUUUUGUAAACUUUUUUUUGAAGAAAUAUAAUAUUCUAACUUUUAUUAAAAAAUAAAAUUUUUAAAAAUAUUAGAUAUGUGAUCAAAUUUUCUAAUGAUACAUGUAAAAAGUCAAAUAAUAAUAAACAUAAAAAUUUGAAGAUGCCAGUGAUUAAUCAGAUUUUGAAAAUGAAAUCCAUGAUCAAUCUUGAAGCUAGAAAUUUUGGAAUCAUGGGCAAAAGUACCAGAUAUAUUCCAAAUGAGACGUGCCAUACAUAUAACCGAAUGGACUAAGACGUUUUCAAGGUUAACUUGUUUGUGUUGUUACUUAAAAACUACUGUAAAAGAUACUCGUGAUCGGGCUUAUAGAAAACUCCUGCAACUCAAAUUGGGUUAUGAAAUACAUCCCGAGAUAUCUCCGAUCUCUCCUUUAUAAUCUCUUUUAUCUUUCUAUAUAUAUAAAGGUUAAAUACUAAAAUUCGUCUCAAUACACACCUCUAUAUUUAUAUAUAAAACAAAUAACUAUGCAAUUUCAAAUUUGAAGGAACACUAUAAGAUAAAGUGAAGGGAAAAACUAUACAAUACAUAGAUAGCUUUGGAGUAUAAUUAUACCGUCAAAUAUAAUAUUAAAAUGAAUUUGAAGUAAAGUUGAGGGAAUGAUGAGAGAAGGAAUGAUAAUGUAAAGUGAAAAUGAUGAAAAUUUAAAGAUAAAGUGUGAGUAUAAAAUAAAGUAAUGGCGUGAGAUUGCCUGAAGCUACAAUGCGGCAACAUACCCCACUCCGUGAGAGACACUGGGCCUAUAUCACUGUCCAUCACAAAUUGAACAGUAUUUUUGAAAAACAGUGGACUGAUGCCGACCACUUUGGAUGAUCUACAUAUUAGAAUCCGUUAGAAUCCGAUGGUACGCCUAAUUGAUGGGAGUACUAAUUACUUCUCUUUCUUAUAAAUUCAAUUGAUUUUUUCUCAUUUUCUUUUCUACAAAGUCUCCUAAAUUUCUGUCCCUUUUUAAUGGCUUGAAAUUUAUUGUCAAAAGUUAAGCCGGAACAUCUGAAUAUCAUCAUUGUAGUACAUAGCAUAAAAACAAAAAAAAAAAAGGAGAAAAAUCUUAAUAAUAUUAUUGGAAGUUUAGUACAAUGGUUCAAAACCAAUAAUAUAAUAAAUUAGAUUUCCAAUAUAAUAAAUUUAGGUGAUGAAAAACCUUCGAAAAAGUCACAAGAAAAGAGUGAAUGGAAAAGGGUGUAUGGAUGAUUAUUACUGUAUUAAUUAUAUACGUGGGGUAAGGUGCUAAAUUCUAAUGAUCUGUACCCAACACAGCUCAAUAAAUAUUAUAUAUAAUUCCUACUUAUUAUAAUUAAUAAUCUUUUAUAACAUCUAAUCUCUAAAUCGGGUUCUCGGUCCACUUGUUUAAUCCUAAAAUCGGUUUUUUUAUAACAGAACCAAGUCAAAUCUAUUCUCCAUUAUUGAAACACCAAAAGGUUUGUAUCGUUAUUUAUUGUUUUUCUUGGUGCUAUUAAGAAAACGUGUGUCGUUGGAGAAAAAUAUAAUAUUGUCUAUUAUUCCAUUGAAACGCUAUUUAUAUUUUUUAAUGUAGAAACCGUAGAGAACCAUUCUCUCUAAUACUUUAAAGUGUUAGAGGAGGUUCUUUUAUGGAUCUUAUAUUUAUAUUAAACACUCUCCCUCACUCGAAAUCCCAUUAUUUGGGUUGAAAAGUGGAUUACAGGCGCCCAAACCCGUCCAUUUUAAAUUGUGGGGUGGCAGGGCUUCGAACCUGAGACCUCCCGCAAACCAAAACUCUAUACCAUGUAAAGAAUCAUUCUCUCUAAAAUCUUAAGAUUUUACGCUAAGACUACCAUGAUUUUACGUCCAAGGAUUAUAACCAAUUCAUUGGAGAUUUAGAGUGUUAUUUUCAUAUGAUUUUUUAUAAUUUUUAUUUCUGUAUGCCAACUUUUUUGUGUUAAGAAUUGUUCAUGAUCGGAGUUGCUUUUAUAAGUAUUGCAAUAUGCAUGUGUUUAUCUAAAAUAUUGGAAUAAUAUGUCUAAAUUUUAAAAAGAAAUUGUUGUUUAAAAUAGAUAAAUUAAUUAUAGAUAAUAAAUAGAUAUGAUUUAUAAGUUAUUGAGAUGUUUGAUUAGUGUGAAUUAUAAAUCAAUAUACAUUUUAAUUUUAACAAUUUAUAUAAUAAAAUAAUAUUUAUAAAUAUUAUAAAAUUUAUUAUAUAUUUCAAAUAUAAAAAUAUAUUAAAUUAACUAAUUAAGCCACUAAGAGCAUUCACAUUGGAUACCUCAUCCCUAUCCCUAUAUUUUUACUAAAUUUAGUAAUUAUCCAAAAUUAUAUUCAUGAAUUCAAAAAUCUUCCACAUCUCAUUCCCCAUCCUAUCUUACCCCAUCCCUAUAUUCUCUUUUAUAAUACUUCUUUCUCUCUCUUUCAUUUAUCAUCUAAUCAAUUACAGUUAAAAAUAAAAUUAAAAAAAUGAAAGAAAAAAGAAUGGGGCAUGUAUAAUGAAUCCCCAAAUAUGAGGUUUAAGUUUUAAUCCCUAAAACUAAAUCCUAUUUUAGGUUUUGGAUGAAUUUGAUAAAAAAUUAAGAAAUUUCUUAAAUUAUGAGGAUAACGGGGGAGGCAACGGGGAUGCUCUAACACAGACAUGAUAGCUAUAAUGCCUUAAAAUCAACUAGACACCAGCACACCAAAUCUUACUAAAGUGCCAGCUCACAAUGAGUCAUUUAAAAUUAUAUACUUAUAUAUAAUAAGCGUAAGGGAGAUAAUUUGGUCGCAUGGUCUUCUGGUCCAAAAUCUUUUCAUCCGUUGAAUCUUAUAUAUAUUGAACAAAUAAGCACUGUUAGAUUGGAACAAAAUUAAAUUCUGUUCUCGAAGACAACUGAUAUCUACUUGCAUGUUUAUAAUUCUUUUUCUGAAUCCAAAACAAAUUCUGUCUUUCACAUGUAUAUGACUUUUUUUAAUCCUAAAUAAAUAUUUCCUACCAGUUUUAUUCGUAGAAUAAUAUAAAUCUCACCAUCACAAUUUUUUUAUAAUAUAUUUUAAAAUUAAUAAGCCGGAUUUAUGUGAGGAACAAAUACAAAAACUUUUGAUUAAUCCAAAAUAGAUUCUACCUUCUUGUUGCAUAUUUAUGAUUCCUUUUCUUAAUUCAAAACAAAUUAUGUUUAUCAAUUUUAAUUUAGAACCAUAUAAAUUUUUUGAAAAAUAUUUAAAUAACAUUAUAAUAAUUUUAAUAUAAAAUACAUUUAUUAAUAUAAUCUAAUAGGAGUUGGCAUAACGUAUUCCACUCAAAAUAUAUUAAAAUUUGAUAGAUAGAAUUUAAUAUUUUGGCAUGAUACAUACGAUAAAAAGAAUUGCUUGAUUAAAAUAAUUUAUUUGAAACCAUUAAUGGCUGUGAUGAUGUAUUUACCAAAGUUCUAACUUACAAACAAAUCAUAAUUUCGAAUUUCAUUUUAUUAGAAAUUUUUAUUUAUUAUUUAUAAAUUAAAUUUUUUCACACCAUUUAAAAUAUAUUUAAAAAGUUUAUAAAUAAUUAAAAAGCUCCUGUGCCCUUGCACGGGCUAUAAGCUAGUAUAAAUAAUACGGAAUUAAAGUAACAAGGUUGAGAUUAUAAACCUAACCGUAUAGUGUAUACUCCUGUAUAUUUACGCGUCACUUGCGGUAUGAAACCAACUCUGAUCCUUUAUAAAACAAGAUUACAUUACAUAUACUAACACGAACAUGGAGCCAAAAGCUUCACAGUCUCUUGAACUUAUUGAAUCAGUGAACGAGGAGAGAGUCUACAGUGAAGAGUUCUUGGACUUGCUCUCAACCUUGCCAAAAGAGAGAGAUGUUUUCGGAGACAACUUUUAUCAGUACAAAGGUUUCUGGUUUCAUAUAAAACCUUUGCAUGGCUUGGUCGAGUCUCUCAAACAUUUUCAGCCAAGAAAAAAUGAUGUCUUCCUCGUAACUGCUCCGAAAUCCGGUACCACCUGGUUGAAAGCCAUCAUCUAUACUUUACUCAACCGCCCAGUCCACCAUCCUCAAGAUCCUCACCACCCUUUGCUUACAAAAACUCCCCAUCAGCUUGUUCCUUUUCUCGGCUUACUCAAACCCUCUGAAUAUGACUUGAUAUCGAAUU